UUGGUAGUUCUGCACAAAACCAAAACGUCAUUAGUCAUAAAGUCAUAAAUGUCUGUGAUCAUAGAAAAUCUAAAAGCAACAUACCACCGAUAUACCAGACAAGUAAUUACCAGGAGGUUGAUGCAUAACGAAUGCAUUACAUCAUCAAAACGAACUUGCUCUAAGAUGUGCAAUUACAGGAAAAAGCAAACAUACAAUUUUGGGGUGGAAUGGAAAAGAACAUUAUACAUUGGAAGUUUUGCAAAAAAAAUCACAACUGUGAAUUUAUUAGUGUUUUUCCAUUUAAAAAGGGGAGGUCAAUACUAUUAAAUCGACUAGAGAGUUGUGGCUUGAUUGUCGUCAAGCAGGAUUUACUUUUUUAACAACACGUGCAAUCAAUCAGAACUCACUUGAAAAUAUAUUUUGCGUUAUUCGACAAGAAGGAGUGGGAAAUGUUUAUCCAAAUUGCUUUGCUUAAUGUGUAGCUUAAAUCCCAGUUUAUUAAAUAAUUUAGUGUUAAACAGAAGCAUUGCAAAAAAUUGUGAAGAUGAUAAUAUGUCACUUAGAAAAUUUACAGAACUUUUUAGAAGAAAAAUCGCCAAGUUUAUUAAGCCCUAAUGAUUUUAUUGCCACUCCAUUUCAGCACAGGAAAUGGAGUAGGAAAGUAAUUGUGACAAUYAAGCAACUUCUUAUGUUUGUGGAUUUCUGUUCAAAAACUUAAAAAAGUAUGUUAAWYGUGAUAUUUGCUACGGUGUCCUUUUACAGAGGAAUUAGAACAACAUCAUUCAUUUGUUAGYUUUAAGACGUAUGAUAAUAUUAAAAGACUGAAUUAUGUAACUAAACAGCUAGUCAAAUACGUUAGUGACAUUUAUGAUUUAAGUUUUUUUAUAUUAUAAAUUUAAACAUAAAGGCUAGUGAUUUAAAGCAAAACGUUAUAAUGUGUUUAAGUCAAGAGUGUGAUUUUAGUUGGUUUUGUUACCAAUUACACAAUAAAAACCUUAAAAAAAAUUAUUAAGGAAUAUUUGGUUAUUUUGGUUAAGAAGUUUGACCAAGAUAAUAAACAUAGCAUUCAGGUUGAAAAACAGAAAACGAAAAAUGAAAAUAAAAGAAGAAAG